GCUUACAGCCAUACCACUCAGAGCAAGCCCGCUCUCGUCUGAUCUCGGAAGCAAAGCUGGGUCGGGCCUGAUUAGUACUUGAUUCAAACUAUUUAUUGUAAAUUAUUUGGAUGAUGUUGCA
rnacentral:rRNA from 1 species